CUUGAGCGAGCCGAGCCACAACGGCCGGUCCUGGGGCCGGUCCUUGCCGUACGUGGCGAGCAGCGCCUGCGCCUC
rnacentral:antisense_RNA from 1 species